GGGGGGGGGAGCCCCAGGCACAAGGCGUAGCCACUCCUCUGUUAGAACCACAAUCAAACAAGGCUCAGGCAAUCCUCGCAGCUGCUCUCCAAAUGUCAGCGCCAGCCGUCAACACAGCUUGAAAGCCACCCAGCUGAAGGACUUUGUGCUGUACCUUCUCGCCCACAUUUUCCCUGAGCACUCCCAGGAACCUGGCAACAGCUGAUGGAACUUUUCCCAGCAGCCGGAGGGCAUGGUCCGGCCUCAGCGAGGAUGCUCCCAUUCCCCCUGGCUGCCUGCAUUCCCUGACCCAUCUGGUCAGACCUGGUAUUUUUCCUCCCUCCUCCUGGGCAGCUUCCAUGUCACCCAGACAGCUGCUGCCACAUCCCGUUGCUUCAGAAGUGGAAGGAAGGCGCAUUUCGGACCUUUCCGGCAGGAGGGACUGGUUGUAUUACAUCUGAUUGAGGCCAUAUGCACCCAAGGGUACUGGUUAUGGACUCAAUGUUUGUGUCCCCACAAAAUGCGUAUAUUGAAGCCCCAACUCCCAAUGUGAUGUUGUUUGAAGAUGGGGCCUUUGGGAGAAAGGCCACGUGAGAACAUAAUAGGAAGGCAGCCAUCUGCAACUGAAGACAAAGACAAAAGCUCUCACCACACAUCUAACCUGCUGGCACUUAGAUCUUGGACUUCCCAGCCUCCAGAAUUGUGAGAAAUAAAUGUCUGUUUUUUAAGCUA